rnacentral:rRNA from 1 species
AGAAUCAACGCUGGCGGCGUGCCUAACACAUGCAAGUCGAACGAGAAAGUGGAGCAAUCCAUGAGUAAAGUGGCGCACGGGUGAGUAACACGUGACUAACCUACCCUUGAGUGGGGGAUAACCUAGGGAAACCUGGGCUAAUACCGCAUAAUACCUUCGGGUCAAAGGAGCAAUUCGCUUAAGGAGGGGGUCGCGGCCGAUUAGUUAGUUGGCGGGGUAAUGGCCCACCAAGACGAUGAUCGGUAUCCGGCCUGAGAGGGCGCACGGACACACUGGAACUGAAACACGGUCCAGACUCCUACGGGAGGCAGCAGUGGGGAAUUUUGCGCAAUGGGGGAAACCCUGACGCAGCAACGCCGCGUGGAGGAUGAAGCCCUUGGGGCGUAAACUCCUUUCGAUCGGGACGAUUAUGACGGUACCGGAAGAAGAAGCCCCGGCUAACUUCGCGCCAGCAGCCGC